rnacentral:rRNA from 1 species
AAGUUCAGAUGUGAAAGACCCGGGGCGUCAACCUCGGAAUAGCAUUUGAAACUAGGCAGACUAGAGUACUGUAGAGGGGGGUAGGAAGUUUCAGGUGUAGCGGUGAAAUAGCGUAGAGAUCUGAAGGAAUACCGGUGGCGAAGGCGGCCCCCUCGGACAGAUACUGACACUCAGAUGCGAAAGCGUGGGGAGCAAACAGGAUUAGAUACCCUGGUAG